rnacentral:rRNA from 1 species
CCUACGGGAGGCUGCAGUGAGGAAUAUUGGUCAAUGGGCGGAAGCCUGAACCAGCCAAGUAGCGUGCAUGAUGAAGGCCCUACGGGUUGUAAACUGCUUUUAUACGGGAAUAACGCGCCUUACGUGUAGGGCUUUGCAUGUACCGUAUGAUUACGGACCGGCUAAUUCCGUGCCAGCGGCCGCGGUAAUACGGAAGGUCCGGGCGUUAUCCGGAUUUAUUGGGGUUAAAGGGAGCGUAGGCCGCAGGGCAAGCGUGCUGUGAAAUGUCCGGGCUCAACCCGGGCCUUGCAGCGCGAACUGGCCGGCUUGAGGGCGCGGAAAGCAGGCGGAAUUCGUGGUGUAGCGGUGAAAUGCUUAGAUAUGACGAAGAACCCCGAUGGCGAAGGCAGCUUGCUGCAGCGGAACUGACGCUGAUGCUCGAAAGCGCGGGUAUCGAACAGGAUUAGAUACCCCAGUAGUC